GGAUGUGAGGGCGAUCUGGCAGCGACAUCUGUCAUCCCAUUGAUCAUCAAGGUUGAUUCGGCUGAUCUGGCUGGCUAGGUGGGUGUCCCCCUCCUUCCUCACCAAUCAAUGUGCUGAGUCCCUCCCGAAGCUGCUUGCUUGGUGGGAGAGGAUGACCUUCCCCCCAGAGGAGAGGACCAGCCUUAGGUCAAGAGUAGCUGUGCUCCCCUGAUAGAACCUCCAAACAGGCUCUCAAAGAGUCGGAAGAAUUGACUCUACUGAUCUACCUGUACUGUAUGAUGUUCAACAAAUCAUCUAAUCCCUCUAAAUUUUAAGCUUU
rnacentral:snRNA from 1 species